CAGCAGCCGCGGUAAUACGAAGGGGGCUAGCGUUGUUCGGAAUAACUGGGCGUAAAGGGCGCGUAGGCGGAUCUUUAAGUCAGGGGUGAAAUCCCAAGGCUCAACCUUGGAACUGCCUUUGAUACUGGAGAUCUUGAGUCCGGGAGAGGUGAGUGGAACUGCGAGUGUAGAGGUGAAAUUCGUAGAUAUUCGCAAGAACACCAGUGGCGAAGGCGGCUCACUGGCCCGGUACUGACGCUGAGGCGCGAAAGCGUGGGGAGCAAACAGGAUUAGAUACCCCCGUAGUCCCUGUCUCUUAUAC
rnacentral:rRNA from 1 species